rnacentral:rRNA from 1 species
UACGUAGGGUGCAAGCGUUUGUCCGGAAUUAUUGGGCGUAAAAGAGCUCGUAGGCGGUCUGUCGCGUCGGCUGUGAAAACCCGGGGCUCAACCCCGGGCCUGCAGUCGAUACGGGCAGACUAGAGUGUGGUAGGGGAGACUGGAAUUCCUGGUGUAGCGGUGAAAUGCGCAGAUAUCAGGAGGAACACCGGUGGCGAAGGCGGGUCUCUGGGCCAUAACUGACGCUGGAGGAGCGAAAGCGUGGGGAGCGAACAGG